rnacentral:rRNA from 1 species
GAGUUUGAUCUUGGCUCAGAUUGAACGCUGGCGGCAUGCCUUACACAUGCAAGUCGAACGGCAGCACGGGAGCUUGCUCCUGGUGGCGAGUGGCGAACGGGUGAGUAAUGCAUCGGAACGUAUCCUGGAGUGGGGGAUAACGUAGCGAAAGUUACGCUAAUACCGCAUAUUCUGUGAGCAGGAAAGCGGGGGACCUUCGGGCCUCGCGCUCUUGGAGCGACCGAUGUCGGAUUAGCUAGUUGGUGAGGUAAAGGCUCACCAAGGCGACGAUCCGUAGCAGGUCUGAGAGGAUGAUCCGCCACACUGGAACUGAGACACGGUCCAGACUCCUACGGGAGGCAGCAGUGGGGAAUUUUGGACAAUGGGGGCAACCCUGAUCCAGCCAUGCCGCGUGAGUGAAGAAGGCC